rnacentral:rRNA from 1 species
GUCUACAGCCAUGCCACCCUGAACAUGCCCGAUCCCGUCUGGUCUCAGAAGCUAAGCAGGGUUGGACCUGGUUAGUACUUGGAUGGGUGACUACCUAGGAAUACCAGGUGCCGUAGGCA